GCCAGCCUAGCCAAGUAGUUAAGGCGGGGGACUGCAGAUCCUCUUUGCAUGAGUGCAAAUCUCAUGGCUGGCUCCA
rnacentral:tRNA from 1 species